rnacentral:tRNA from 1 species
AGUAARAUAACUUAACUAAAGUGAAARAUUGUARAUCUUUUUAUGGUAUUAACCUCUUACAA